rnacentral:rRNA from 1 species
UACGUAGGGUGCGAGCGUUGUCCGGAAUUAUUGGGCGUAAAGGGCUCGUAGGCGGUCUGUCGCGUCGGGAGUGAAAACUCAGGGCCUAACCCUGAGCCUGCUUCCGAUACGGGCAGACUAGAGGUAUGCAGGGGAGAACGGAAUUCCUGGUGUAGCGGUGAAAUGCGCAGAUAUCAGGAGGAACACCGGUGGCGAAGGCGGUUCUCUGGGACGGUACUGACGCUGAGACGCGAAAGCGUGGGGAGCGAACAGG